CCCUGGGCCCUGCCUCUCUUUUCUCUCUCUCAGCCCAACCCAGCAGCCAACCCCCUGGCCCCUUCUAUUUCUCUCCACCGGAGCAGCCCACUCCCUUUCCUCUAAUCUGGCCCGAGGCCACCUUCCUCUCUUUCUCUCCUCAGCCCAGCUCGGCCCAGCCCAGCGACGGCCUGCGUACCCCUUCGGCCCCCUCCCUCUUCUUUUUCCGUUCGUCCUCGCUGGAAAGCGAGAGCACGCACAUGGCGUGCUUGCUUUUCACCACCGCACCACCACCUGCUCCCUCCUCCCCCUAUUAAUCCAUCCCUAAACCCUAGGGCUCUCCCCUUCCUCCCCUUUCUCCCUCGCGCCGCCACCCCCAUCUCCCUCUUCCUUUUCUUCUCUGUGAGAAAACCACCGUGAGCAGCUCACCGUCGCCCCGCCACUCAAGGCUGCCCCUCGCCGAGUUGAAGGCACCAGGAGCUUCGCCUCGUCGCCCUCUACAUCCUGGCGCAAGGAAUCGACUCGGAACCUCUCCGUCCGUCCGCAAAUUCGCCGUUUCCGUCUCCAAGUCCGGCGAGAAAAUCGUCGAAUUCCGGCCGCCCUCGUGCUUCUCCGGCCAAACCAAGCACAUCCCCGGGUUCCCCGUGUUAAGGCGCAUCCCCGACAUCGACUUCCCCGUCCCGGUUCGUUCGGGUUCCUUAGAUCGGUGCCGGACCUGCGUGUUCCGCCAUGGUCGUUUUGACCCGAAGCUCCACCUCGUCUGCUUUGAAAGAAGGCCCGCUGCGUUCUGUACAGCAACCGUACAGUAGCCCAAGUGAUCUGGCGCUGAGAGUUGGUUCAGUAUGCGCAUGAGAUCUUCCUAAUCGUCAAUAGCAGAUCCGCCGACGGUCCUUGAUCCGGUGUCUCGCCGACUGGGGCCUCAGCCCAUGUGCGCGCCAGCUUCUUCGUCGCCCAGCGUGCGAUGGGCCUCUAUCCGUUGCUCAGCAUUUGCUUCUUCCCGGAUAGGAUCACGAAGUGGUGUGAUGAGAUACGACAAGUUCUUCUGCAGCUUUUCACAGG